UCACAGGAAGUCAAACUAACACCAUUUUUUGAAUAAUGGGAAUCAAUCACCUGAGAAUGCAUUAGACACUGGCACAGCUGAUUGCAGGUCAGCUCACCCCUGACUGUUUUCCGAAGCACUGAUUGCCCAAGGUUACCCUCUCCUGAAGUCUGUUGGCAGCGCUCCUCCUGUGAGCACUGAGUUACGCAACAGGGAGAACACUUUUGCCUGAAGGCAGGUACCUUGGCAUCACAUAGCAGUGCAGAAUAUGAGUGGGAAGAAUUGCAGCUAUCGACCUUGAGUAAGCAAAAAAAUUUAAGGUUUUAUAUAACUUAGCGUUUCAAAAUUAUAGUUCGAAACACGGUAUUUGAAGUGGCUGGCAUUCAAAGACUAAUCAGCUGCAUCGCAAAAGCUGUCUAAAGAAUGUCAAAAUAGGGAUAUGAACAAGCUCUAUUAAGUAAAUUGAUAAGAAAAGGUGUAUAUUUAAAACUUUUUUGUAAUGAUCAUUUUCCCUCUUUACUCCUG
rnacentral:lncRNA from 1 species